AGCUGAUUGGCUGGGAGAGUCAAGUAAAGAAAAAACCGUGGGCGGGAGAUGGGGCUCGGGGGAGGGGCCAGAGCCCGGCUCCGGCCUCUGAUUGGUCUCGGCUCGGCCUUUUCGGCUCGGCCCGUGUUUGUCCCUAAUUCAGAAGAAAACCAAACUAAGAUAAAAACUAAAGUUGCCUUGAUAUUUUCUGCUUCUCACGUGCCCAGAAUUCUACCCCUUCCUCCGGGACAUCUUUUAGAGGAAAAACCAGCGGCCCCCAAAUGUUUUAAGUCCAAAACUAUUGCUAAAUGCGGGCGGCGGGGGCGGAGAGGGGGCGGGGCUUCUCACGCGUCUCCGUGAGGCUGCCCGAUACAUUCCCUUCUCACUUAUUUAUUCACCUGAUGAACAGUUAUUUGCAGUUUUUCUUCCAAAGACCCACCUGGCUUCGCUGGAUGCAAAGAGUGAGGCCGAAGACACAGCCCGCCCCCAUUCAAAUUCAACGCACUUGCGUGCCUGACGUCACCUCCCUGACGUCAUGGUCCUCUCAGAACUAAAGACGAAGACGUCAUCUCCCACUACUUCCUCUCUACAAUCCUUUAGGCGAGAACACAGAUUUGGGGAAACUUGCAUCGCGCCUGCCCGCACUUGGUAUCAGGAGGCCUUCCCUGGAUUUGUCCAGUCAGCCAGGUGAAGUGGCAGCGGGCUGUGGUACCGAGAGGCACUCUUAGCACCGGCUUUCAUAAACUUCUGACGCGGGCAUGGACAAAAGAGCGAGCAAGGCUCAGAAUCGAAGAGGAGAAAAGCCACAAACUGCCCCGUCUUAGCCAUUUCAAACAAAUCCACGUCUGUACCUGACCAGAGAAUUUAAUUUUAUGGAGGGCCGUCUUAACCAGCAAGCAACGCACACAUUUAUCAGAAUCAUGCUGAAGCCCGAAUGGAUCAUCUAACUGGCAACAAUACUGAGGUAGAACUGCUGGCUGCCACAAUAGCGUGCUUGACAAUGCUCUCCCAGACCAACUGACCCGGACAUCGUCGGGACCUGGAUUAUUCUUGAGGUACUGAGAUCGAUCAUAAAGGGUCAUAAAGGGUCUCAACGCCCCUGUCCCCCUUGAAGGUUGCCGACUGAGGGCUUUUUCGAAAGCAGAAUGAAUGUGAGCGAUUUAGCCCAUCAAAAUCAAAAAUGUCACAUCACAGCAGUGUUAUAAGGACAAGAGUUGGCAGCCCAGCCUCCCUGCUCACAAUAAAAGCCCCUUAAAAACCAUC